GCAUAAUCAAAACACCAUUAACUCAGCAGAAACUUUCCCACUAAUUUAGGAAGAUGACGAAUCAAGAUAAUUUUGAAAAAAAAAGAGAAUUCCAAGAGAAAUACCAAAAGAAGAAAUAAAAUACUAUUUUGUUCAUAUUUCUGAUUGAUCAACAGCCAGUACAUUCGAAGUCUGUCAGAAUUUAUGAAAUCGUUCAAGUGUCUGCCUUAUCAACUGUCGAUGGUAGCUUACGCGCCUACCAUGGUCGUAACGGGUGACGGGGAAUCAGGGUUCGAUUCCGGAGACGGAGCCAGAGAAAUGGCUACCACAUCCAAGGAAGGCAGC
rnacentral:ncRNA from 1 species